rnacentral:lncRNA from 1 species
AAAGUUACCAUGGUAAAUUAUUUUCUCCUGAAGGAGAAAGAUUCUUCCGACUUUAAUUCAGUUUUUGACUUAUUUCUUUAGCAGGCAGUAUUUGUGGAAAGAGAGUAAUCAAAAGUUAGGGUUAGCUAAUGUUCUUCGCCAACAUCUUUAACAGUCUUUUUACAUACCGUUUGAUGUGAGACUGGUCUGAGAACUGGAAGAUCUCUGCAGUGUUUUUUCUGCUGUAAUCCAACAAAUUUUGCAUUAUAUGCAUUCAACUUUACUUUUCUAUAAAAAAAAAGCUGUAACUUUCUCAGGAAUCAUUUGAUAUUCAUGAAAAUAAGUAUUUAAAUAAAUAUUUACCAACUAACUCUCCGAUUUUCUGUGAAAUGCAUGUAAUGAAAAUACUUAAAACGUUUGUGCAUUAGUUUGUGUGGUCAGUGAAUCAAAAAUAUUUAAUUGAGUUGAAAUUUCAGGCAGAGGCACGGGACAAGGAGCGGCAGAAAGAGGAGACAGAAGCAACGAAAACUAGAAAAUGGGUUCAAGAAUGUCCUGAGGGAGUUCGAUGUUGAUUACAAGACAGAGUGGGAAGAGAUCCGGCCUAAAAUCGAAAAACAGGAUGCUUUCAAAGCGAUUAUUGCUGAGUCUGAAAGAAUCAGAGUCUUCAAGGAGUACCAGCGUGACAUAGAUGAAUCCUGUAACCAUCAUCAUUCUAGGUCAAAGAAAUCAAAACGUAACAAGAAAAAUAGGAAACGGUCAAGAUCACGCUCACACGGUUCCGGAAGUGACUCAGACCACCACGGACGUAGGCGACGAAGGCGAUCACACAGUUCACACUCCUCGGAUGGUUCGGACUAUCAUCACCGAUCGAGUAGACGUAAGAAGAGUAAGAAGAAGCGAUCUACGCGAGACGAAUCACCGGUCGGUAUCUGAACCCUCCCCUCAGCCCCCUCCCAUGCUUCAAGACCCAUCCUGGCCCCAAGCGCCACAAGCGUAUGUACCCAUCCUUCCGCCUCCUUCUCUUGCCAUUCCACAUCCGCUCAAAAAUACCAGGAUUUACCUGACAAAAAUAUUUGAGUUACCCGAAAAUUUUGUUGCAUAAUGUCCUAAAGAAUCGAACAAAAGGCAGUGUGGCUGCUAAUCAUUUUAAGAAGUAUUCUUUCUUUAAGAAACUUCAGCAGUUGCAACUAUUAUGCUUUAAAUGCAACUGAAUAUUUAACAUCAGUAAAAUGUAAGAAAUUCUGCUUAUUCAUAAAAGGUUUCUGAAGAAUUCUAGAUUUCUGGAAAACUAAUAAUGUAGGUCUCGGGUAAAGGUUGAGAAUGCUAAUUUCUCUCAUUUUACUCCAGCUUCAAGGAGAAAUUAGGACUUGCCUUUAUUUUAAAGUGACCUUUAUUCCUCUAAAAUCAUACAAAAAUAUGAUCAUGUAAGGAGCUCCAUGUAUUCGGAAAAUAUUACUAAAUGUAAUAAAUCAAAGCGUUUUAGUUUAUGGCUGCGUUUAUCGAAAAGAGGUACUAAUUCCA